GCCGGGUGCAGUGGCGCAUGCCUGUAGUCCCAGCUACUCGGGAGGCUGAGGCUGGAGGAUCUCUUGAGUCCAGGAGUUCUGGGCUGUAGUGCGCUAUGCUGAUCAGGUGUCCGCACUAAGUUCGGCAUCAGUAUGGUGACCUCCCGGGAGCGGAGGACCACCAGGUUGCCUAAGAAGGGGUGAACUGGCCCAGGUCGGAAACAGAGCAGGUCAAAACUCCCCUGCUGAUCAGUAGUGGGAUCGCGCCUGUGAAUAGCUACUGCAUGCCAGCCUGGGCAACAGAGUGAGACCCUGUCUCU
rnacentral:SRP_RNA from 1 species